CAGUAGCCGCGGUAAUACGUAGGUGGCAAGCGUUGUCCGGAAUUACUGGGCGUAAAGCGUGCGCAGGCGGUCCGCUAAGACAGGUGUGAAAUCCCCGGGCUUAACCUGGGAACUGCAUUUGUGACUGGCGGGCUAGAGUAUGGCAGAGGGGGGUAGAAUUCCACGUGUAGCAGUGAAAUGCGUAGAGAUGUGGAGGAAUACCGAUGGCGAAGGCAGCCCCCUGGGCCAAUACUGACGCUCAUGCACGAAAGCGUGGGGAGCAAACAGGAUUAGAUACCCCCGUAGUCCCUGUCUCUUAUAC
rnacentral:rRNA from 1 species